CCACGCAGUAAACGAUGAUAACUCGUUGUCGGCGAUACACAGUCGGUGACUAAGCGAAAGCGAUAAGUUAUCCACCUGGGGAGUACGUUCGCAAGAAUGAAACUCAAAGGAAUUGACGGGGGCCCGCACAAGCGGAGGAACAUGUGGUUUAAUUCGAUGAUACGCGAGGAACCUUACCCGGGCUUGAAAGUUAGUGACGAUUCUGGAAACAGGAUUUCCCUUCGGGGCACAAAACUAGGUGCUGCAUGGUUGU
rnacentral:rRNA from 1 species